GACGUAGGGGCCGAGCGUUGUCCGGAGUUACUGGGCGUAAAGGGCGCGCAGGCGGUUGGUCACAUCGGCGGUGAAAGCCCCCCGCUCAACGGGGGAGGGUCCGUCGAGAUGGGCCGACUGGAGGCAGGGAGAGGGCGGUGGAAUUCCGGGUGUAGUGGUGAAAUGCGUAGAUAUCCGGAGGAACACCAGUGGCGAAGGCGGCCGCCUGGACCUG
rnacentral:rRNA from 1 species